rnacentral:lncRNA from 1 species
GUCUGUCUUGCAGAGGACACUAGGACGAUCAAGGCCAAUAUCCUAGCUGAUGAGCUCGUAGUCUGAUAGAGGAGGCUGACCUGUAAGCAAAUGAUUGGAGAAAAAAUAUGUUGAGAGGCAUGAAUCCAGGGAUGUGGGAGCAGAGAGGGUGGAAGAAGGCAGGAAAGACUUCCCAGAGGAGGGACAUUUGAGCAGGUCCUUUAAGGCUGGCUGGAGGCUUAUAGAAGCGACAGUGACUGAUCCCAUUGGUGGAGGAGGAACAGGAUAGUCUGCCAUUGGCUGCAGUCUUGCAGCAAAGAGACCUAGACUUGUGUCUCCUGGCCUGGGUAGGUUUGUUGGGUAGGUUUUUUAACCCUGAGAUCCAACAGGCUCAGCUUGGGAAUUUCUGGCUUUAGGUUGAGAGAAGGGCUGCUGGGCAGAGCAGAGGCCCACUUGUCCUCCCCAUUGGGAAACUUCCAGGUCCUGAGCUCUCCAGGGAGAUGCCACAGCAGGUCCAGGUCCAGGGCUCUUUCCUGUCUUCUACCACCCUCUCUGCUCCCACAGCCCUGGAUUCAUGCCUCUCAACAUAUGAUUUUUUUUCUCCAAUCAUUUGCUUACAGGUCAGCCUCCUCUAUCAGAAUAUGAGCUCAUCAGCUAGGAUAUCGGCCUUGAUCAUCCUGGUGUCCUCUGCAAGGAGACUUGUGUCUCCCGGCCAGGAUUCAAGAGUGUGCUUUGCUGUGCAGUGA